CUUGACAUCUGAGUAAAGUGGUUGUGACCAAUUAUCAAGAACACUGAUUAUGAAUGUAAAACAUUCAUGUGCACCAGCAAUGAUAAUAAAAACCUUCAACAUUCUCUAAAGAUUAUUGAUGGAUGAAGGUCUUCAAAAGACUUAUAAUUCAAAUACAUUCCAGUUUGAUGCUUUACAGGCAUCCACAAAUAUGAUACCUGGUGAUAAUUAAAGAUUAGACCUAUUCAAAUGAAUUGUAGAUUUAGAUUAAAAUAUUAAAAUGUACAAACACAAAAUAAUAAUUCUGUAAUGGUUCUUUUUGUAAGCUAAUGUAGAAGUAAUGAUGGUGAUUGUGAUGAUGUGAUGAAAAUAUGUUUGUUUUUUUUUUUGCAGAAAACUAGCAAAGACAUACUUUGAAGGACAUAAGGGUUACAGUAACCUUUUGAAAGACAUAAGUAGAGGAGAUGUCGACAAAAGAAGAGCUCAAAAUCUAGCAAAAGACUAUAUUGGAGAGAGCAAGG